rnacentral:lncRNA from 1 species
AUGGCCUUUGUGAUGGUAAGCUUGUUGGAGAUUUAGACUGGGUAUUGAAGCAAAUGAUGAGACAUGGAUUCGUUCCGAGGAUGGGUAUGUGGAGGAAGAUUCUUGGUUGCUUGUUUCCUGAUGGAGGUUGUUGUACUACCUAUACUUACGAUGAGAUUCUUGCAGACUAAAGCCUCAUUUGUUUUCAUUAAGAUUUAGACUGGAUAUUGAAGCAAAUGGCGAGACAUGGAUUCGUCCUGAGGAUGGGCAAGUGGAAGAAGAUUCUUGGUUGCUUGUUUCCUGAUGGAGGUUGUUGUACUACCUAUACUUACGAUGAGAUUCUUGCAGACUAAAGCCUCAUUUGUUUUCAUUAAGAUUUAGACUGGAUAUUGAAGCAAAUGGCGAGACAUGGAUUCGUCCUGAGGAUGGGUAAGUGGAAGAAGAUUCUUGGUUGCUUGUAUCCUGAUGGA